rnacentral:rRNA from 1 species
GACGAACGCUGGCGGCGUGCCUAAUGCAUGCAAGUCGCACGCACUGCUUUCGGGCAGUGAGUGGCGCACGGCUGAGUAGCACGUGGGAACAUGCCCUUCAGUGGGGGAUAACACCGCGAAAGCGGUGCUAAUCCCGCAUACGCUCGCGCAAGCGAGGAAAGCCGCAAGGCGCUGGUGGAGUGGCCCGCGGCCUAUCAGCUAGUUGGCGGGGUAACGGCCCACCAAGGCUACGACGGGUAGCUGGUCUGAGAGGAUGACCAGCCACACUGGAACUGAGACACGGUCCAGACACCUACGGGUGGCAGCAGUCGAGAAUCAUUCACAAUGGGGGAAACCCUGAUGGUGUGACGCCGCGUGGAGGAUGACGGUCUUCGGAUUGUAAACUCCUGUCAAGUGAGAGUAAGGCUUGGUGUUAACUGCAUCCAAGUUUGAGAGUAUCACUAGAGGAAGAGACGGCUAACUCUGUG